ACGGCCCCUAGAGGCACUACAGGUGUGGUGCUGUGUCACCUGUGUGGCAGAAGGUGGCUGAGAGGAGAGAGGCUCUGUCUACACCCCAGGUGUUCUGACCUGGGGACACCUGAAUGAUUAGUAGCCUAUGGUU